GAAUAAAGAGUUAUUCCCCUUUUUGUAAUAUUUUUUAGAUAGUUUCAUCUUAGAACUGGUUGUUGACCCCUGACAUGUUUUUCUCUGAAAGUUAAUUUAAUAUCAGUAAAUAUAAUUAUAAGAUUUUAAAAAAUGCCCUUAAUAAGAAUAUUAUUGGUGGAUUUAGCACAUUUCUUUAUAUUGAUCAUGUAAAUAGAAAACUCGUGUUUAUGUAAAUAGUUUUUGAACAAUAUUGUAACUAAGUUAAAGUGUACUGCUUUUUUUUUCUUCAAAAUUUAUUUUUUUUCUGUCUAUUUACGUUAACCAUGAAAUACAUAAUACUUAUAUUCAAAUGAUUUUUGGUGAGUUGUAGCAAGCUAUAGAUAGAACUCAAUAAAUGUGAUAUUUAUUCAU
rnacentral:misc_RNA from 1 species